rnacentral:rRNA from 1 species
UAGCUUGGGAAUCUGGCUUAUGGAGGGGGAUAACUACGGGAAACUGUAGCUAAUACCGCGUAGGAUCGGAAGAUGAAAGUGCGGGACCGCAAGGCCGCAUGCCAUGAGAUGAGCCCAAGUGGGAUUAGGUAGUUGGUGGGGUAAAGGCCUACCAAGCCUGCGAUCUCUAGCUGGUCUGAGAGGAUGGCCAGCCACACUGGAACUGAGACACGGUCCAG